rnacentral:rRNA from 1 species
AACGAACGCUGGCGGCGUGCCUAACACAUGCAAGUCGUGCGAGAAAGUUCCUUCGGGAGCGAGUAAAGCGGCGCACGGGUGAGUAACACGUAGGAAUCUACCUAAUAGUGGGGGGAUAACGUUUCGAAAGGAACGCUAAUACCGCAUACGUUCUGAGGAAGAAAGCAGGGGAUCGCAAGACCUUGCGCUAUUAGAUGAGCCUGCGUCCGAUUAGCUAGUUGGUGGGUAAAGGCCUACCAAGGCGACGAUCGGUAACUGGUCUGAGAGGAUGAUCAGUCACACUGGAACUGAGACACGGUCCAGACUCCUACGGGAGGCAGCAGUGGGAAUAUUGGACAAUGGGGGCAACCCUGAUCCAGCCAUGCCGCGUGUGUGAAGAAGGCCUCGGUUGUAAGCACUUUAAGCGGGAGGGAAGGACGUCUAUGGCGUAAUAUACCAUGGGAGUUGACGUUACCCG